rnacentral:siRNA from 1 species
UGAUGCACGUUCGGAGGGAUCUCU